rnacentral:lncRNA from 1 species
UUAUACUAUUUCUUACAUAGCUGUAAUAUAUAAUACAAUAUAUAAUACAAUAUAUCAUCGAUAGCUGGACGUAGCUGUGGAGAUCAAAAACCACAUUUAUCAAAAUUAAUCUCUUGACACGGCAUAAGCGAGCGCGUCUUGGUCUCGCAGAAAGAUACCCAUUGAAAAAGUCAAAAGUUCUAGCUAAUGGAUGAGAAUUGAGUGAAUAACCCUAUCGAACGCUUUACUGAAGGCGUUGUAGAUAACGUUAGUUCGCUUAUUAUCUCUAAAGGCUUUGGAGAUAUGUGCCACAAAUUAGGAAGGAAUUAAAAAGUUUGGUUAAAGGCAAAUAUAGAUUUUCUGCUCAACUUUUCUAAAAACAUGUAAGAAUCAUAUCUGAACCAUAACUGAAAGAAUGUUUUGGAUUCAUCAUAGCUGUAAUACAUCUUCUUCAGAAAUAGUUGUAUUAUGUGAAACUUCCCGUUCAGUCGAAUUUCAUCGGAAUGCGAUGUAGAUGCUUGCUCCCGCUGAUGGCGAUAUGAGCCUCUCAAUUGUUCGACGAGUGUAUUAAGGAAUCACAGAUGGCUCACUGGCUUUUCCACACUUCCCUGGAUUUGAUUGUUUAUAUUAUAUACAAGAAAGGAGUUAGAUCAACGAAAUUUCCAUGCCUCAAGAGAAAAGCUUACGCCAGCAAUAUUUGUGUGUUGUAGAAAACCCAGGUUUUGUCCAUUCCAUGUCGUCAUUAAAUCGCAUUUUGCAUAAAGACUUGAGUCUUAAGGCGUAUAAAGUUCAGUUUGCACAGGAACUCAAACCCGGCGACGAUCAACAACGCCGAAUCUUGACCGACGGUGCUCAUUUCCACCUGGAUUGCUACGUCAAUAAGCAAAAAUUUCACAUUUGAUUUUGUUUUCCAUUAUUGAUGGCAUAUCUUUAUCUUGGGAUCAUUAUAAACAUCCCAUCAUUUAUCUAACAAAAGCCACUUUCCCGAUAUAACACCUCUUAUCAGAAAAGGAGUUGAAAAGGAAUUAAAAUAGAUACGCUAAAUAAACAUCAAAUCGGCCAUAGUUAUUGUUGGAUAGACACUUCUUUUUCAAUCAACAGACUAAAGUAUAAUAUCAAUUUUGAAGAUCGGCCAGAAGCAUCGCAAGAGCUACCAAUGUAUCCAGAAAAAGUCACAGUUUGGUGCGGCUUAUGAGCUGUUGGCAUCAUUGGACCGUACUUCUCCACAGAUGAUGCGUAUCGUAACGUACCGUGAGAGGACAUCAAACUUUUUUUUGCCCAAAAUGCAAGAGCUUGACAUGCAUGAAAUGUGGUUUCUACGAGACGGUGCCACAUGCCACACAGCACGCGCAACAAUGGACUUAUUGAGAAGCGAGUUCGGUGAACAGUUUAUUUCACAUUCAGCACCGGUCAAUUGGGCGGCUAGAUCGUGCGAUUUAACGCGUUUAGUUAUUUUUCGUGGGGCUUCAAUUGAUUCAUUAGAGGACAACAUUGAAGCAUUUAUUCGUGAGUUAUCGGCCGAAAUGUUGGCAAGAGUAUGCCAAAAUUGGACCAAGCGGAUGGGCGGAAGGAGCAGUUACGGUCAACAUUUGCAUGAAACAAUCUUCAAACAUUAAAUUAUAUGGUCCGUAAUAUCAAUUCUGAAUUCUAUGUGAUUUUGAAAAACUUUCUUAAAGCUCUUAAACAAUGAACCCUUACUUCCAAACGUUAUCGCUUAAAUAGGCAAAAGUCGGCUGUUUCAGUUGAAUGGAAAAAGCGGUGAUUGCGAUCUGAUUAAAGUAAUAAUAUAAAAAUUUCGUACUCUACUACGUUUUAAAAAAACUUUGAUAGAACUUAAAUGUCAAAAAUAAUGAUUACCAAAGUAAUUUUAAGUCGGUGUUAAACAAAA